GUGUCAGCAGCCGCGGUAAUACGGAGGGUGCAAGCGUUAAUCGGAAUUACUGGGCGUAAAGGGAGCGUAGGUGGCUCGAUAAGUCAGAUGUGGAAUCCCCGGGCUCAACCUGGGAACUGCAUCUGAUACUGUUGAGCUAGAGUAUGUGAGAGGAAGGUAGAAUUCCAGGUGUAGCGGUGAAAUGCGUAGAGAUCUGGAGGAAUACCGAUGGCGAAGGCAGCCUUCUGGCAUAAUACUGACACUGAGGCUCGAAAGCGUGGGUAGCAAACAGGAUUAGAAACCCCAGUAGUCC
rnacentral:rRNA from 1 species